rnacentral:misc_RNA from 1 species
GCCAUUUCUAUUUUUAUUCAUAUAAUUUGAAUGCAAAUUAUGUAUGUGUAUGGUAGCGCAAGGAAGUAUGGAAUUGAAAGAUUAUGGUGUCCUGCUGUGAAAUAAGAAGUGGGAGAGCAAUUAGGGCUUUAUAGACUUACAUAUUGACAUUAAUAGAUUACAUCAGUUUAUUGUGAAAAUUAAAAACAUAGAGUGAAAAUGGUGAUGAGAGAAAAAGGAAUUAAAUGCACAUGAUUUCCCAACCAAAUUGUCAAGUUGUAAUCCUAAUUCAUGUUCACUUAGUAGGAUAAUAGGGUUAUAAGCCUUUUCAUAGACUUUAGUAAGACCAAAUCCCAAUUGUGGAAUAAAUUAAUCAUAGCCUUACAUUGGAAUUGAGAUCAUUAGAGAGACCAUAAAGAGAAAA